AAAGGCCGGAAUAGCUCAGCCGGUAGAGCAGAGGACNGAAAUCCUCGU
rnacentral:tRNA from 1 species